UCUCUCUCCUAUCUCAAAUCUCAAUUUCAAAACCUCUUUCCAAAAUCCAUUAACCCUAAUCUCUCUUCUCUGCUGUUUUGUCGGGGAAAACCUCUCCUUCUCUGUUUGUGCAUCCACGCAACCGAUAAGUGGCAGUGAAGAAGGAACUCAAUCUCGUGCCUUCAAGUCCGGAGCUUUCGCUUGCUCGACAUAUGUACUCCCUUGAAUGUGAAGCCACAGUGAAUGAGCAGUUUUUCCAAGGACUCAAGUGUGGAAGAAAGAGAUCACGCGAGAUGUUGAUGGAGUAUCAGAAAAACGUGGUGGGAGGGUUCAGCUAGAGCCCAUGGUGAUACCUCAGUCUGAGUUUGAUUACGCUGACACAGGAGAUGUUUUGAUGUUGUCUAUGCCAUGGAGUUGGCUCUAUCAUUGGAGAAACUGGUCAAUGCGAAGCUCUUAUACGUUUUCUUCUUCAAAGAUGGGUUCCUAAUAUAACUACUAAGUUCCUUUUCAAAGAUGGGUUCAUGGGCGUUGUGAGGUAAUCAAAUUAUCUCUGAGAAUGCUUCUCUAUCGAUAAACAAUUUAUUGUAAUAAUUACAAUUUAUUGUAAUAAUUAUUUUUACCUUAUAUUUUUAA